CAUUAAAUCAGAAAUUAAAAUAUAUAAAUAUAGCAUGAACUACAUGUUGAUCAUAUCAACAUGUUUUCAUACCACAUCUAAUGUAUGUAUUAAACAAUAGAUCAGAUCUAUUACCUUGCAAGUUAGAUGCUCUAACCUCGCUGAUCCGGGCUUAAGGAUGAUGUUGCAAGCCACACACGCGUCCGGCCUCUAGGAGUCGUCCACACGAGCCCACGAAUCUCGAUCAGAAGUCCUGCUUCAGGAAAUCAGCACAGUAUGCUAGUACUGCGCUGAUCCUUCUUUGAUGGUUGAUCAGGUACCUCCUUCUUCUUGAUUUGGACUCUUCCAAAGAUGGAAAGUAGAAGGAGGAGUUUCAGAUCUGAGACACUCUCAGGAAA
rnacentral:lncRNA from 1 species